GAUGAACGCUAGCGGCAGGCCUAAUACAUGCAAGACGAACGGUAACUUUGGUAGCAAUAUUGAAGCAAGAGUGUCGUAAGGGUGCGUAACACGUAUGCAAUCUGCCCUCAACAGGAGGAUAGCUCCCCGAAAGGGGAAUUAAGCCUCCAUAGGAUCGUAAUGUGGCAUCACAUAGCGAUUAAACUACCAGGGGUUGAGGAUGAGCAUGCGCAUGAUUAGUUAGUUGGCGGGGUAACGGCCCACCAAGACGAUGAUCAUUAGGGGAACUGAGAGGUUGAUCCCCCACACUGGCACUGAGAUACGGGCCAGACUCCUACGGGAGGCAGCAGUAGGGAAUAUUGGACAAUGGGUGGCAAGCCUGAUCCAGCCAUGCCGCGUGCAGGAAG
rnacentral:rRNA from 1 species